UGGGAGUGAGAAUGUUGGCAUGAGUAGCGAGAUGUGGGUGAGAAUCCCACAGGCCGUAAACCCAAGGUUUCCAGGGGAAGGGUCGUCCGCCCUGGGUUAGUCGGGACCUAAGCUGAGGCCGAAAGGCAUAGGUGAUGGACAACAGGUUGAUAUUCCUGUACUACCGAUAACCGUUUGAGAGAUGGGAUGACACAGUAGGAUAAGCUAAG
rnacentral:rRNA from 1 species